UGCCAGCCGCCGCGGUAAUACGGAGGGUGCAAGCGUUAUCCGGAAUCACUGGGUUUAAAGGGUGCGUAGGCGGAUAGAUAAGUCAGAGGUGAAAGCCCGCAGCUCAACUGCGGAAUUGCCUUUGAAACUGUAUAUCUUGAAUUAUGUUGAGGUUGGCGGAAUGAGUCAUGUAGCGGUGAAAUGCAUAGAUAUGACUUAGAACACCAAUUGCGUAGGCAGCUAACUAGGCAUAUAUUGACGCUGAGGCACGAAAGCAUGGGGAGCGAACAGGAUUAGAUA
rnacentral:rRNA from 1 species